CUGAAUUCUUGUCUUUUCUAACCGGUCUUUGAAUAUAGGGCUUGAUUAAUGCUCCUGGCAUUUUAAUUCUGUAUUGUGAUGUCUUGUCAUUUCAAAACCCAUGUGAAACAAAAGCAUUUUAAUUUUCCACAGAGAAUCAUGGUCUGGGGAAAACCGGAGAAAAAGGAACUUUCUAGCUGCUAAUGUCUUUAAUGAGCAUCAUGCUUUUGUUAUUAGCUGUGAAUAUGGUAGACCAAAGCUCUCCCACAAAACAGGCAAACUUUAGAAACUGACAAAAGGCAGGGUUUGACAAACUGACAGAAUGUGACAUCUCGAUGGGGUUUUUGUAAGUGUUGUUACUCAACAGUCCACAGCUGAAGCUGGAGCUGGGGGCAGGGCCGGAGAAAGAAUGCGACGUGGUGGAGAGCAGCAUUAUGCCUUCAAAUAAAUAACCUGAGGGAUCGUGCAACUAGUUUUCUACUCGUGAAACAGAUUUUAGGGAAUAGACUGAAAUGGCAUGAUACAUACAAAUAAUUUUGAUUUCAGCUCUUUCUGGUAGUACUGAAAGACACUUAAACGAAAUAUCCUGUUUUGAUUUAAAAUAUCCACAAUUAAAUUUACUAACCUUUCUUUAUAUGCCAUCUGCAACAUAUGUUCCCUAUAAUAGCUUGUAAUACACUAACUACCGUAAGAAAAGAUAUAGCAGACUCCCUUAACCCUUAAACCCUUGCCUAUUAUCACCUAGUGGCUUAUGUUAUGAUAACAAACGAGGCCACAGGCAGUAAUGUUCUAGGAACAAGUGCCAGUUUUGUAUGCAGCACGAACCCCCUUUUACUUCAAGUUUACUUAAAGCUCUUUAAGUUCGGUAGGUUUGUCCGGCAAAGAGGCGCUCUUACUGAAGGGAAAAACGAAAGUAGCAGCGAAGUGAUGACUUAAUUUUCACCUGGGAAAUCAGUGAUAAAGUCCCGGUGGGAAAGCCCCAAACACUACUUCCUAAACCCGUAGCCCAGGACUGAGCCUCAACCUCUUGUUUCCAUCACAGGGGCCACCCUCCGUCCCCCGGGGAGCGCCCAGAGGACGAGAGGAGCGGGCACCGUCCGAGGGCGGUGGAGCGCGGGCGGCAGAACAAAGGGGGGCGCAGGGAGGAUGCUGCGCGCUGCCGGCCCCUCACCUGCACCGGGCCGGGGGCGGGGAGCGCCCGCCCCGGGGGAGGCAGAGCAGGGAGGGAAGGAGGGAGGCAGGGAAGGAGGCUGCCCGCUGCGGGGAGGCGGCUGCAGCUGGGAAACAGCAGCUCCGGUUUCUGCUCGCAUUUGGGGGUGGGGUGGGAGGUGUGUGUGAGAAACGCCAAGCGAUGGAUCUUCCCUGCUCCUGACGCCGCUCUCUCCCCGUCGGGACUCAGCGGGCGCUGGAGGAAAGGAGCCGCGAGGGAGCAGCGCCGCUCGCAGCCCCGUGGGGAGCCGGCUGCGGGGAGCGGCGGCUGCCUCCGGCCCCCAGCGACUCCUCCCGGAGCGGCCCCUGCGCUUCACCUUUGCCUGCAGCUAACAAGCGUGCAAUUUGGGGUUAAUGGAGCUGGGGUUACUGUUCCUCUUUGGACUUACAAUUACAUCGACUGCAGGGUCCUCGCUGCCCCGGCCGCGCUCCGUGCCGGCCGGCGGCGAGCCGCGCUCGGCGGCGCUGGGCCGGGAGGAGCGGGAGGGCGGCGAGGCGGCGGCGGCGGCG
rnacentral:lncRNA from 1 species